rnacentral:piRNA from 1 species
UGGAACGAGUUCUUGGAAUGAAUCCCAUGC